CUCCUGCUGUUAAAGAGGUCGUUGACCUCCUGUUGUUAAAGAGGUCGUUGACCUCCUGCUGUUAAAGAGGUCGUUGAUCUCCUGCUGUUAAAGAGGUCGUUGACCUCCUGUUGUUAAAGAGGUCGUUGACCUCCUGCUGUUAAAGAGGUCGUUGACCUCCUGCUGUUAAAGAGGUCGUUGAUCUCCUGCUGUUAAAGAGGUCGUUGACCUCCUGUUGUUAAAGAGGUCGUUGACCUCCUGCUGUUAAAGAGGUCGUUGACCUCCUGCUGUUAAAGAGGUCGUUGAUCUCCUGCUGUUAAAGAGGUCGUUGACCUCCUGUUGUUAAAGAGGUCGUUGACCUCCUGCUGUUAAAGAGGU